UUCCAGGUUCAUGGAGGUCAUGUGACCAGAAGUGCCCUGCACAGGGAGUCUUGCAUGCAGAGGCCAUGGAAGAAAUGCUGAGAAGGGUCACAAGGAGGGGGUGCAUCAAUAGGACGCGCCGGGCAGUUUGUUGACUGGUUGCCCGGCAACGGUGACGUCAUUCUACGCGGCCAGACGCUGGCGCCGCUGGAGACUCUCCCGCCCUCUGCACCCGUUUGGUUGCACCGGCGUAUGUAAAGUAUUUAAGUGCAUUAAUAGGACGUGCCGGGCUGUUUGUUGACUGGUUGCCUGGCAACGGUGACGUCAUUCUACGCGGCCGGACGCUGGCGCCGCCGGAGACUCUCCCGCCCUCCGCGCCCGUUUGGCUGCACUGGCGUGUGUAAAGCAUUUUAAGAUCCUUUUCCUGAAUGCCCGGUACCCAGGAAGUGCCCAUGAUUCCCACGUGAUUCAGCAAUCAGGGAUAUGGCAAAAAUUAAGCAUGUUGGAAGACUAAGACGCGUGGAUCUUGGAUGCAGAGUUUGGAGUUCGCAAUGCAGACAUACAGCCACCAUCCCGCGGUGAGAAAGAGGAGGAUGAGUAUGGGGCUAUGGAGGAGAAUGCUGAGGUUGUAGAUCCGAAUGCUGCAAUCCGUUUGGCCUUGCGCCGUAUGGAGCAUCAUGUGUGGGGCCUCCUUGAUUAAAUUAUACUUUUACAAAAU